rfam:Gossypium raimondii Chr10_contig_1376, whole genome shotgun sequence.
UGUUAAAUAUUUCAUCUAUUUGUACUGUUAAAAACUGAUGCGAUUGACAGAAUAAUUAAAUAGUGACACAUAGUAUGCUACGUGUACCUCAUACUAACGUACAUGAUCCAGUUUUUAACAAUAAAAAUAGAUAGAAAUUUUUGACA